UACGGAGGAUCCAAGCGUUAUCCGGAUUUAUUGGGUUUAAAGGGUGCGUAGGCGGAAUAGUAAGUCAGUGGUGAAAAGCCUGUCGCUUAACGACAGAACUGCCAUUGAUACUGCUAAUCUUGAGUAUAAUUGAAGUGGGCGGAAUGUGUCGUGUAGCGGUGAAAUGCUUAGAUAUGACACAGAACACCGAUUGCGAAGGCAGCUCACUAAACUAUAACUGACGCUGAGGCACGAAAGCGUGGGGAUCAAACAGG
rnacentral:rRNA from 1 species